rnacentral:rRNA from 1 species
GACGUAGGGGCGAGCGUUGUCCGGAAUUACUGGGCGUAAAGAGCACGUAGGCGGGAUUUUAAGUCGGGUGUGAAAGACCGUGGCUCAACCACGGGGUUGCACUUGAAACUGGGAUUCUUGAGGGCAGGAGAGGAAAGUGGAAUUCCUGGUGUAGCGGUGAAAUGCGUAGAAAUCAGGAGGAACACCGGUGGCGAAGGUGACUUUCUGGACUGACCCUGACGCUGAGGUGCGAAAGCGUGGGUAGCAAACAGGAUUAGAUACCCGCGUAGUCCCUGAGCGGGCUGG